UAACAGAGUCAAUGCUAUAGGUAAGCGACUGAAAAGAUUAGGUGUGCCUUCUCGUCGGAACACAUCAAAUGUGCCGCAUAAUGUCACCAAACAAGUUAUAGAGAAUCUAUUACCUAAUCUUUCCGAGACUGUGGGUACAGAUCUUUAACAUCCAUUCUUCGAAGAAAAGGUUACGCCGUCCAAAGGGAUGUUGUCAUGAAAUUACUAAGGGAAUUGGACCCCGAAGGCACUAAAAUCAGAAGGAGGAGGCGAAUCCUGAGAAGAACUUACCAUUCAAUCGGACCCAAUCAAAUCUGGCAUGUCGAUGGAUAUGACAAAUUAAAGCCAUAUGAAUUUGCCAUCCAUGGGUGUAUUGAUGGAUAUUCCAGAAAAUUGAUGUGGUUACAAGUGGGUCCUUCAAACAAUGAUCCAGCCAUCGUAGCCUCAAAUUAUGUGGAAUGUGUACAAAAUAU